rnacentral:rRNA from 1 species
GACGAACGCUGGCGGCGUGCUUAACACAUGCAAGUCGAACGGUGAACCUCUUCGGAGGGGAUCAGUGGCGAACGGGUGAGUAACACGUGGGCAACCUGCCCCCGGCUCUGGGAUAACUCCAAGAAAUUGGGGCUAAUACCGGAUGUUCACCGCUUCCCGCAUGGGUGGUGGUGGAAAGGGUUUCCGGCUGGGGAUGGGCCCGCGGCCUAUCAGCUUGUUGGUGGGGUAGUGGCCUACCAAGGCGACGACGGGUAGCCGGCCUGAGAGGGUGACCGGCCACACUGGGACUGAGACACGGCCCAGACUCCUACGGGAGGCAGCAGUGGGGAAUAUUGCGCAAUGGGCGGAAGCCUGACGCAGCGACGCCGCGUGAGGGAUGACGGCCUUCGGGUUGUAAACCUCUUUCAGCAGGGACGAAGCGCAAGUGACGGUACCUGCAGAAGAAGCACCGGCCAACUACGUG